GAUGAACGCUGGCGGCGUGCCUAAUACAUGCAAGUCGAGCGAACGGACGAGAAGCUUGCUUCUCUGAUGUUAGCGGCGGACGGGUGAGUAACACGUGGAUAACCUACCUAUAAGACUGGGAUAACUUCGGGAAACCGUAGCUAAUACCGUAUAAUCUUUUGAACCGCAUGGUUCAAAAGUGAAAGACGGUCUUGCUGUCACUUAUAGAUGGAUCCGCGCUGCAUUAGCUAGUUGGUAAGGUAACGGCUUACCAAGGCAACGAUGCAUAGCCGACCUGAGAGGGUGAUCGGCCACACUGGAACUGAGACACGGUCCAGACUCCUACGGGAGGCAGCAGUAGGGAAUCUUCCGCAAUGGGCGAAAGCCUGACGGAGCAACGCCGCGUGAGUGAUGAAGGUCUUCGGAUCGUAAAACUCUGUUAUUAGGGAAGAACAUAUGUGUAAGUAACUGUGCACAUCUUGACGGUACCUAAUCAGAAAGCCACGGCUAACUACGUG
rnacentral:rRNA from 1 species